rnacentral:rRNA from 1 species
UACGGAGGGUGCAAGCGUUAUCCGGAUUCACUGGGUUUAAAGGGUGCGUAGGUGGGCAGUUAAGUCAGUGGUGAAAUCUCCGGGCUUAACCCGGAAACUGCCAUUGAUACUAUCUGUCUUGAAUAUCGUGGAGGUAAGCGGAAUAUGUCAUGUAGCGGUGAAAUGCUUAGAUAUGACAUAGAACACCAAUUGCGAAGGCAGCUUGCUACAGGAAUAUUGACACUGAGGCACGAAAGCGUGGGGAUCAAACAGG